GCUGGCGGCAUGCUUAACACAUGCAAGUCGAACGGUAACAGGCGGAAGCUUGCUUCUGCGCUGACGAGUGGCGGACGGGUGAGUAAUGCAUAGGAAUCUGCCCAGUAGUGGGGGAUAGCCCGGAGAAAUCCGGAUUAAUACCGCAUACGCCCUACGGGGGAAAGGUGGCCUCUUCUUGAAAGCUAUCACUAUUGGAUGAGCCUAUGUCAGAUUAGCUAGUUGGUAGGGUAAAGGCCUACCAAGGCGACGAUCUGUAGCUGGUCUGAGAGGAUGAUCAGCCACACUGGGACUGAGACACGGCCCA
rnacentral:rRNA from 1 species